rnacentral:tRNA from 1 species
UGGGAUAUAGCUCAACGGUGAGAGCAGGUGCCUUAUACGCAUCAGGUUACAGGUUCAAGCCCUGUUAUCCCAA